GGGGAAUUUUCCGCAAUGGGCGAAAGCCUGACGGAGCAAUACCGCGUGAGGGAGGAAGGCUCUUGGGUUGUAAACCUCUUUUCUCAGGGAAUAAGAAAGUGAAGGUACCUGAGGAAUAAGCAUCGGCUAACUCCGUGCCAGCAGCCGCGGUAAUACGGAGGAUGCAAGCGUUAUCCGGAAUGAUUGGGCGUAAAGCGUCCGCAGGUGGCGAUGUAAGUCUGCUGUUAAAGAGCAAAGCUUAACUUUGUAAAAGCAGUGGAAACUACAUAGCUAGAGUACGUUCGGGGCAGAGGGAAUUCCUGGUGUAGCGGUGAAAUGCGUAGAGAUCAGGAAGAACACCGGUGGCGAAGGCGCUCUGCUAGGCCGUAACUGACACUGAGGGACGAAAGCUAGGGGAGCGAAUGGGAUUAGAUACCCCAGUAGUCCUAGCCGUAAACGAUGGAUACUAGGCGUUGCGAGUAUCGACCCUCGCAGUGCCGGAGCCAACGCGUUAAGUAUCCCGCCUGGGGAGUACGCACGCAAGUGUGAAACUCAAAGGAAUUGACGGGGGCCCGCACAAGCGGUGGAGUAUGUGGUUUAAUUCGAUGCAACGCGAAGAACCUUACCAAGACUUGACAUGUCGCGAAUCCUCUUGAAAGGGAGGAGUGCCUUAGGGAGCGCGAACACAGGUGGUGCAUGGCUGUCGUCAGCUCGUGUCGUGAGAUGUUGGGUUAAGUCCCGCAACGAGCGCAACCCUCGUUUUUAGUUGCCAGCAUUAAGUUGGGCACUCUAGAGAGACUGCCGGUGACAAACCGGAGGAAGGUGGGGAUGACGUCAAGUCAGCAUGCCCCUUACGUCUUGGGCUACACACGUACUACAAUGCUACGAACAGAGGGCAGCAAGCUAGCGAUAGCAAGCAAAUCCCGGAAAUCGUAGCUCAGUUCAGAUCGAAGCUUGCAACUCAGCUUCGUGAAGGAGGAAUCGCUAGUAAUUGCAGGUCAGCAUACUGCAGUGAAUUCGUUCCCGGGCCUUGUACACACCGCCCGUCACACCAUGGAAGCUGGCAACGCCCGAAGUCAUUACCCCAACUUUUAGGAGAGGGGGAUGCCUAAGGCAGUGCUGGUGACUGGGGUGAAGUCGUAACAAGGUAGCCGUACCGGAAGGUGUGGCUGGAUCACCUCCUUUUAGGGAGACCUACCCAACUGUAAAAUCGGUUGCCAAAAGCAAGAUAGAGAAUACAGAUGGUCAAACCUAGGUCGGUCGAGGUUGGUUAGAGCUUUCAAAGUAUUGUUUGGUUUAGUCAGCAUUUCAUAAAAAAAGGAAAAAACAGCAACUAACUCUCGUUAGACUGCUGGGUAAAAAAUCCUAGCCAGAACCUUGAAAACUGCAUAGAAACGCGAUUAAAAGCAGGCAGACACAGACAUCGAAAGAUGUAAGUGAAUGCAGGUGAGACACCAAAUGUAUUGUGGUCAAGCGAAUAAGAGCUAAUGGUGGAUACCUAGGCACACAGAG
rnacentral:misc_RNA from 1 species